ensembl:lncRNA
AGGAUGGGUGGAGCCUGUAGAUUUAAACAAGCACAGGAGGAAGAAGAAGUACUAGAUUACAGAAAUAAAGAAAGCAGGCCAGAGGACCUUACAUCAGAUCAGUGUCCUUGGCUCUUGGAAACCAGCCUUCUCUAACUCUGUACUGCUUAUAAGGUAGAAAGAAGAGUCUGGCUAAAUGAUAGUCAAGAGCUUAUGAAGAUCUGCGGAAGCUCUGUGAACGCACUGGGCAGCAGACAUGAGACCUGCUGCUCUGUCUCUGCAGAAAGUGCCCGUAUCAACAUGGAUCAGCCAGAAACUACAGGAGAGCUCGUCCUUCUGAGCCCAGUUACCGACACUGUUUUCCCCAGGGUAGAUUCCACAAAGCACUGGGAAUCCCCUAGGCCAAGUCCUUCCAAUUUUCCUCCCUCUUGAACUUCACAGUCACCCACACGGGACUCUGGAAGAAGUCACAUUUGAACUGCAACCAAACAUCCCAAUGUUAGUUGGAAGUCAAAAAUGUAAACUUUUUGUUUCUGGAUUGCUGGCUACAAAAGGGGACUUCUAGGUUUCAAGAGUCUUCUCUAAAAGGGUGCUCUACAGUUAUUGUUUAGAUCCUAACAGAGCUUUGCCAGUAAGGACGAUCAUUUAUGUCUCAGCUGAAUGAAAGUAUUUCCUAACUAGCCCUCCAGAAACUGGAUAACCGUGUCACUGACUACAACAAUCAGCUAGUCUUGAAGAAGAAAACAGAAUUUUAGCAACCUCUAGAAUACACAGGUUGUAAGCAAGUUGAGCUGUUAAUACACAGGAUAGAUGUCAUUGGUGCUAACUCUAAUCACACACCUGAAGCUGUGGGAUAGCUGCUGGAAGCUCAAAAUGAUUUCUGAACUGCUCAAGAGUUCAGACUAGUUAGAGAAUUGAAAAUAUUUGUUGUUUACUCUUAAGCCAUGUAAUGGACUCAGCAACUCUUAAUACACUUUGAACUCAUCAAAAUAAUUGUGACAACUUUCCAAAGAUUAGAGCUCACUGUGAUAAUGAAAUCAUACCAAAGCAUGUGAGUCCAUGGACUUCACAGUAGAAUCUGUACAAUUUUUAAUUGACACAUACUGAAAUUAGGAAUUUAGCUAUAUCGUUCUACUGCAUCAGAGUUCAGCUAGGACCCUUAGAGUUGGCGGGAGGAGCACAGAUCUCACACAUCUCCAGCACAGCCUCCCUCAACCUUGCCUUUGGUUCAUCAAUCUUGCCCCAUAUUUUAUUUUCCUGGAAAGAAAUUGGAAAGAGCUGUCUCGAUGUUCACAUAAGGGCUGUUGGCACCGUAUGUUUUUAUUCACCGUUGAGUGCCUAUUACAAUGCCUAACAGCUGGUGACCCUCACAACUACUUAUCGGAUGGGUAAUGGAUAGAUGGAUGGAUGGAUGGAUGGAUAGAAGAAAGUCAGCACAAGGUAGAUAAUUUUGGACUGCUGGAAGUAAAGAAGACUUUGUAUGUGACCUGGAAUUUAACCUGGGCUUUGGAAAAAGGGCAAAAUGUUUAACAUGUCCUCCACAUGUUAAAAAUAUACACUCUUUACUACAGCUUUUUUUUUCUAACUGCAAUCGAGGAGAUGCAUGUUAAAUUGAGUCUCACAGCUUUUUCAACACAUGUGGAUGAGAAGGUACUGUUAUAUUAAGCAACACAGUUAAUUAAAAGAGGAAAUGAAAAUCAUUCUUAAAUGACAAGGGUCCCACUUCCUCUCUGCUUU